rnacentral:rRNA from 1 species
UACGUAGGGUGCGAGCGUUAAUCGGAAUUACUGGGCGUAAAGCGUGCGCAGGCGGUCUUGUAAGUCUGUCGUGAAAGCCCCGGGCUUAACCUGGGAAUUGCGAUGGAGACUGCAAGGCUUGAAUCUGGCAGAGGGGGGUAGAAUUCCACGUGUAGCAGUGAAAUGCGUAGAGAUGUGGAGGAACACCGAUGGCGAAGGCAGCCCCCUGGGUCAAGAUUGACGCUCAUGCACGAAAGCGUGGGGAGCAAACAGG